UACGGGGGGAGCAAGCGUUGUUCGGAUUUACUGGGCGUAAAGGGCGCGUAGGCGGUCACGACAAGUCAGUUGUGAAAUCUCCGGGCUUAACUCGGAACGGUCAACUGAUACUGUCGGACUAGAGUGCAGAAGGGGCAACUGGAAUUCUCGGUGUAGCGGUGAUAUGCGUAGAUAUCGAGAGGAACACCUGCGGCGAAGGCGGGUUGCUGGGCUGACACUGACGCUGAGGCGCGAAAGCUAGGGGAGCGAACGGG
rnacentral:rRNA from 1 species